rnacentral:rRNA from 1 species
AUUGAACGCUGGCGGCAGGCCUAACACAUGCAAGUCGAACGAGCGGCGGACGGGUGAGUAAUGUCUGGGUAUCUGCCCGAUGGAGGGGGAUAACUACUGGAAACUGUAGCUAAUACCGCAUACUAUCAGAUGUGCCCAUAUGGGAUGAGCUUGUUGGUUGGGUAACGGCUCACCAAGGCGACGAUCUCUCGCUGGUCUGAGAGGAUGAUCAGCCACCCUGUAACUGAGACACGGUCCAGACUCCUACGGGAGGCAUCAGUGGGGAAUAUUGCACAAUGGGCGCAAGCCUGAUGCAGCCAUGCCGCGUGUAUGAAGACGGCCUUCGGGUUGUAAAGUACUUUCAGCGGGGAGGCGUUACCCGCAGAAGAAGCACCGGCUAACUCCGUGCCAGCAGCCGCGGUAAUUC